rnacentral:rRNA from 1 species
GAGAAAGUUUUCAGCUUGACGGUACCUUACCAGAAAGGGAUGGCUAAAUACGUGCCAGCAGCCGCGGUAAUACGUAUGUCCCGAGCGUUAUCCGGAUUUAUUGGGCGUAAAGCGAGCGCAGACGGUUUAUUAAGUCUGAUGUGAAAUCCCGAGGCCCAACCUCGGAACUGCAUUGGAAACUGAUUUACUUGAGUGCGAUAGAGGCAAGUGGAACUCCAUGUGUAGCGGUGAAAUGCGUAGAUAUGUGGAAGAACACCAGUGGCGAAAGCGGCUUGCUAGAUCGUAACUGACGUUGAGGCUCGAAAGUAUGGGUAGCAAACGGGAUUAGAUACCCCGGUAGUCCAUACCGUAAACGAUGGGUGCUAGUUGUUAAGAGGUUUCCGCCUCCUAGUGACGUAGCAAACGCAUUAAGCACCCCGCCUGAGGAGUACGGCCGCAAGGCUAAAACUUAAAGGAAUUGACGGGGACCCGCACAAGCGGUGGAGCAUGUGGUUUAAUUCGAAGAUACGCGAAAAACCUUACCAGGUCUUGACAUACCAAUGAUCGCUUUUGUAAUGAAAGCUUUUCUUCGGAACAUUGGAUACAGGUGGUGCAUGGUCGUCGUCAGCUCGUGUCGUGAGAUGUUGGGUUAAGUCCCGCAACGAGCGCAACCCUUGUUAUUAGUUGCCAGCAUUUAGUUGGGCACUCUAAUGAGACUGCCGGUGAUAAACCGGAGGAAGGUGGGGACGACGUCAGAUCAUCAUGCCCCUUAUGACCUGGGCAACACACGUGCUACAAUGGGAAGUACAACGAGUCGCAAACCGGCGACGGUAAGCUAAUCUCUUAAAACUUCUCUCAGUUCGGACUGGAGUCUGCAACUCGACUCCACGAAGGCGGAAUCGCUAGUAAUCGCGAAUCAGCAUGUCGCGGUGAAUACGUUCCCGGGUCUUGUACACACCGCCCGUCAAAUCAUGGGAGUCGGAAGUACCCAAAGUCGCUUGGCUAACUUUUAGAGGCCGGUGCCUAAGGUAAAAUCGAUGACUGGGAUUAAGUCGUAACAAGGUAGCCGUAGGAGAACCUGCGGCUGGAUCACCUCCUUUCUAAGGA